GGCUCCGUAGCUUAGCUGGUAGAGCACUUGCCGCGUUAAGGCAAGGUGUUUCUCUCGCUGGUUCGAAUCCAGCCGAAGCCC
rnacentral:tRNA from 1 species